rnacentral:rRNA from 1 species
AACGAACGCUGGCGGCAUGCCUAACACAUGCAAGUCGAACGAACCCUUCGGGAUUAGUGGCGCACGGGUGCGUAACGCGUGGGGAUCUGCCCUUUGCUUCGGAAUAACAGUUAGAAAUGACUGCUAAUACCGGAUGAUGUCGCAAGACCAAAGAUUUAUCGGCAAAGGAUGAACCCGCGUAGGAUUAGCUAGUUGGUGGGGUAAAGGCCUACCAAGGCGACGAUCCUUAGCUGGUCUGAGAGGAUGAUCAGCCACACUGGGACUGAGACACGGCCCAGACUCCUACGGGAGGCAGCAGUGGGGAAUAUUGGACAAUGGGCGAAAGCCUGAUCCAGCAAUGCCGCGUGAGUGAUGAAGGCCUUCGGGUUGUAAAGCUCUUUUACCAGGGAUGAUAAUGACAGUACCUGGAGAAUAAGCUCCGGCUAACUCCGUGCCAGCCGCCGCGGUAACAC